rnacentral:rRNA from 1 species
AUUGAACGCUGGCGGCAUGCCUUACACAUGCAAGUCGAACGGCAGCACGGGGCAACCUGGUGGCGAGUGGCGAACGGGUGAGUAAUGCAUCGGAACGUACCUUUCAGUGGGGGAUAACGUAGCGAAAGUUACGCUAAUACCGCAUAUUCUGUGAGCAGGAAAGCAGGGGAUCGCAAGACCUUGCGCUGAUUGAGCGGCCGAUGUCAGAUUAGCUAGUUGGUGAGGUAAAGGCUCACCAAGGCGACGAUCUGUAGCGGGUCUGAGAGGAUGAUCCGCCACACGGGAACUGAGACACGGUCCAGACUCCUACGGGAGGCAGCAGUGGGGAAUUUUGGACAAUGGGGGCAACCCUGAUCCAGCCAUGCCGCGUGAGUGAAGAAGGCCUUCGGGUUGUAAAGCUCUUUCGGCCGGGAAGAAAUCGCACGGGCUAAUACCCUGUGUGGAUGACGGUACCGGAAUAAGAAGCACCGGCUAACUACGUGCCAGCAGCCGCGGUAAUAC